UACGUAGGUGGCAAGCGUUGUCCGGAUUCAUUGGGUUUAAAGGGUGCGUAGGCGGCCCUGUAAGUCAGUAGUGAAAUAUCACAGCUUAACUGUGAGGGUGCUAUUGAUACUGCGGGGCUUGAGUACAGACGAGGUAGGCGGAAUUGACGGUGUAGCGGUGAAAUGCUUAGAUAUCGUCAAGAACACCGAUAGUGUAGACAGCUUACUAGGCUGUAACUGACGCUGAGGCACGAAAGUGUGGGGAUCAAACAGGAUUAGAUACCCCCGUAGUCC
rnacentral:rRNA from 1 species